ACGAACGCUGGCGGCGUGCUUAACACAUGCAAGUCGAACGCUGAAGCCUGGCUUUUGUUGGGUGGAUGAGUGGCGAACGGGUGAGUAACACGUGAGUAACCUGCCCUCUUCUUUGGGAUAACGCCCGGAAACGGGUGCUAAUACUGGAUAUUCACUUGCCUUCGCAUGGGGGUGGGUGGAAAGGGUUUUUUUCUGGUGGGGGAUGGGCUCGCGGCCUAUCAGCUUGUUGGUGGGGUGAUGGCUUACCAAGGCUUUGACGGGCAGCCGGCCUGAGAGGGUGACCGGUCACAUUGGGACUGAGAUACGGCCCAGACUCCUACGGGAGGCAGCAGUGGGGAAUAUUGCACAAUGGGCGCAAGCCUGAUGCAGCGACGCCGCGUGAGGGAUGGAGGCCUUCGGGUUGUGAACCUCUUUCGCUCAUGGUCAAGCCGCAACUCAUGGUUGUGGUGAGGGUAGUGGGUAAAGAAGCGCCGGCUAACUACGUGCCAGCAGCCGCGGUAAUACGUAGGGCGCGAGCGUUGUCCGGAAUUAUUGGGCGUAAAGGGCUUGUAGGCGGUUGGUCGCGUCUGCCGUGAAAUCCUCUGGCUUAACUGGGGGCGUGCGGUAGGUACGGGCUGACUUGAGUGCGGUAGGGGAGACUGGAACUCCUGGUGUAGCGGUGGAAUGCGCAGAUAUCAGGAAGAACACCGGUGGCGAAGGCGGGUCUCUGGGCCGUUACUGACGCUGAGGAGCGAA
rnacentral:rRNA from 1 species